rnacentral:rRNA from 1 species
GCGGGACACGUGGUAUCCUGUCUGAAUAUGGGGGGACCAUCCUCCAAGGCUAAAUACUCCUGACUGACCGAUAGUGAACCAGUACCGUGAGGGAAAGGCGAAAAGAACCCCGGCGAGGGGAGUGAAAAAGAACCUGAAACCGUGUACGUACAAGCAGUGGGAGCCUCUUAAUGGGGUGACUGCGUACCUUUUGUAUAAUGGGUCAGCGACUUAUAUUCUGUAGCAAGGUUAACCGAAUAGGGGAGCCGAAGGGAAACCGAGUCUUAACUGGGCGUUAAGUUGCAGGGUAUAGACCCGAAACCCGGUGAUCUAGCCAUGGGCAGGUUGAAGGUUGGGUAACACUAACUGGAGGACCGAACCGACUAAUGUUGAAAAAUUAGCGGAUGACUUGUGGCUGGGGGUGAAAGGCCAAUCAAACCGGGAGAUAGCUGGUUCUCCCCGAAAGCUAUUUAGGUAGCGCCUCGUGAAUUCAUCUCCGGGGGUAGAGCACUGUUUCGGCAAGGGGGUCAUCCCGACUUACCAACCCGAUGCAAACUGCGAAUACCGGAGAAUGUUAUCACGGGAGACACACGGCGGGUGCUAACGUCCGUCGUGAAGAGGGAAACAACCCAGACCGCCAGCUAAGGUCCCAAAGUCAUGGUUAAGUGGGAAACGAUGUGGGAAGGCCCAGACAGCCAGGAUGUUGGCUUAGAAGCAGCCAUCAUUUAAAGAAAGCGUAAUAGCUCACUGGUCGAGUCGGCCUGCGCGGAAGAUGUAACGGGGCUAAACCAUGCACCGAAGCUGCGGCAGCGACACUAUGUGUUGUUGGGUAGGGGAGCGUUCUGUAAGCCUGUGAAGGUGUGCUGUGAGGCAUGCUGGAGGUAUCAGAAGUGCGAAUGCUGACAUAAGUAACGAUAAAGCGGGUGAAAAGCCCGCUCGCCGGAAGACCAAGGGUUCCUGUCCAACGUUAAUCGGGGCAGGGUGAGUCGACCCCUAAGGCGAGGCCGAAAGGCGUAGUCGAUGGGAAACAGGUUAAUAUUCCUGUACUUGGUGUUACUGCGAAGGGGGGACGGAGAAGGCUAUGUUGGCCGGGCGACGGUUGUCCCGGUUUAAGCGUGUAGGCUGGUUUUCCAGGCAAAUCCGGAAAACCAAGGCUGAGGCGUGAUGACGAGGCACUACGGUGCUGAAGUGACAAAUGCCCUGCUUCCAGGAAAAGCCUCUAAGCAUCAGGUAACAUCAAAUCGUACCCCAAACCGACACAGGUGGUCAGGUAGAGAAUACCAAGGCGCUUGAGAGAACUCGGGUGAAGGAACUAGGCAAAAUGGUGCCGUAACUUCGGGAGAAGGCACGCUGAUAUGUAGGUGAAGCGACUUGCUCGUGGAGCUGAAAUCAGUCGAAGAUACCAGCUGGCUGCAACUGUUUAUUAAAAACACAGCACUGUGCAAACACGAAAGUGGACGUAUACGGUGUGACGCCUGCCCGGUGCCGGAAGGUUAAUUGAUGGGGUUAGCGGUAACGCGAAGCUCUUGAUCGAAGCCCCGGUAAACGGCGGCCGUAACUAUAACGGUCCUAAGGUAGCGAAAUUCCUUGUCGGGUAAGUUCCGACCUGCACGAAUGGCGUAAUGAUGGCCAGGCUGUCUCCACCCGAGACUCAGUGAAAUUGAACUCGCUGUGAAGAUGCAGUGUACCCGCGGCAAGACGGAAAGACCCCGUGAACCUUUACUAUAGCUUGACACUGAACAUUGAGCCUUGAUGUGUAGGAUAGGUGGGAGGCUUUGAAGUGUGGACGCCAGUCUGCAUGGAGCCGACCUUGAAAUACCACCCUUUAAUGUUUGAUGUUCUAACGUUGGCCCGUAAUCCGGGUUGCGGACAGUGUCUGGUGGGUAGUUUGACUGGGGCGGUCUCCUCCUAAAGAGUAACGGAGGAGCACGAAGGUUGGCUAAUCCUGGUCGGACAUCAGGAGGUUAGUGCAAUGGCAUAAGCCAGCUUGACUGCGAGCGUGACGGCGCGAGCAGGUGCGAAAGCAGGUCAUAGUGAUCCGGUGGUUCUGAAUGGAAGGGCCAUCGCUCAACGGAUAAAAGGUACUCCGGGGAUAACAGGCUGAUACCGCCCAAGAGUUCAUAUCGACGGCGGUGUUUGGCACCUCGAUGUCGGCUCAUCACAUCCUGGGGCUGAAGUAGGUCCCAAGGGUAUGGCUGUUCGCCAUUUAAAGUGGUACGCGAGCUGGGUUUAGAACGUCGUGAGACAGUUCGGUCCCUAUCUGCCGUGGGCGCUGGAGAACUGAGGGGGGCUGCUCCUAGUACGAGAGGACCGGAGUGGACGCAUCACUGGUGUUCGGGUUGUCAUGCCAAUGGCACUGCCCGGUAGCUAAAUGCGGAAGAGAUAAGUGCUGAAAGCAUCUAAGCACGAAACUUGC